GAAUUUCUUACUAUAUGUCAGUAUCUGUCCCAUGUGCUUAGGAUUUCUUCUCACUAUUACACAUAGUCAUGUAAUAGGUGCCAGCUGAUGAAUGUACCAAAUUAAGAAGCAAAUCUCCAUCCUGAGGAAUUUAUAGUACAGAAAGUCAAACCCCAAAGAAACUGUCACUUUCAAAACAUCGUAAUACUUCCAGUUUUUGUGUUUUCUUCUUUUGACUUUCCAUGACAGAUCAGGUACGGCAGGGUAAUUUGAAAGUUUGAGGGCAUUUACAAUGAGCAACCUAUAAAGCUAAUGACAAAUUUGGAGCAUUCUACACUGUGUGGAGUAACAUAUUAGAUACUAGAGACAGUACACUGAACAGUUUAUGUCUUACAUUUAAAUGCGUACAUGUUUGUGCAAAUGGCUGUUAUGACCGUGUGUCACAUUAUAUGGAUAUUAUAAAAAUAUUUUUGUUAACAGGUCCAAAGUAACUUUGAAACUAGAACUGGUAGCCUUGUUAUCAAAAUUGGUCUGAACCUGUACUGUAUAUUUUAUUCCAUGUUGGAGAUACAAAUAAUCAAGACUCCCACUGGAAUAGAAUCUUUCUGAGAGAUUCUGAUCUCCCUUAAGAAGUUAUGUGUGGCUGGAGGAUUGCAAACUUUGGGCAUGAACUGGAAGGUCCUCUACUGCAAACCCACAUCUCCCAGCUAACCUCUAAGAUGCCCAUCUGGCACCUGAAGGCUCGAUGUUGUCUCUUCAGAACCUGAGCACUCCUCC
rnacentral:lncRNA from 10 species